UUUAAACACUGCUGAGUGCCAACGCUCAGCAUAGACGCUCUUCCAAGCCAUGCUGCAGAGACUACUUAGCACAGUGGCAAGUGGGUGCUGCUUGUCAUCACGAGGAAGCUUAAAUGUUUUAAUGAGACCAACAGAUGCAGUUUUCGUAACACACUGCUUACCUGCUUUGAGUGUCGUUCUUGUCCCUUCACCGGAUUUGCAGCGGUGAAAAAUGAGGUGAUUAGAACUAACAGCUAACAACAGAAAAUCAUCAUCAGAUGGAGAAGUUCCCCAGGAAUUGACAGUAGGCUGCUUCUGUUCAACACCUCCUCCAAUCACACGGGAGCAAGUAUAAAUGUUGCUGAUACAACUUCCAGAUGACACAAAACCCAGAUGAACAGCGAUGUCACUGAGCUCAGGGAAGCAUGGAAUGAUUUGGAUGACUUGUGCGUUUAAAGAAAAUCCUACUCUACAAGCUCCUUAUUAAGUCAUUUACUUCAGAAGAAAGAGGUUUCUACAGAAUGGAAGGACUUCAUCUUGGAAGGCAGUGCUUCUAGAAGAGUUUGGUGAUCAGAAUGAAAAAACAGCUAUACUCCAAUUCCUGGUGUAAGUCUGCAGACAAAGGGGCUAGUGAGAUUUUUGCUUGUUUCAAGAGGGAGAUCAAGAAUAGGAGUGGGAGAUCUUCCCUCUAUAAAGCACUCCUGAGACCAGUAAAAACCAGUACAGAUAUGUUAUAGUGUUUAUAUAUUCAAAAGAAUAUGGAGAAAUGGAGAUGUGCAGAAAAGAGACAUCAGAAUUAUUUUUAAGCUGAAGAAAAUGUCUUGAGGUAAAAAGACUAAGAGAAUUCUCAAUAUUUAUCUAAGCAUUUGUUAUCAUGCUCAGUAGAAGAGGCUUAUAUGAUCUAAGAGUUGAAGGAUAUCAGUGUAGUCUAGUAGCAUCUUUAUGGAAAAGAAUGGCAUCAGUCUUGAUUAUCAGAGAUGGCUCAGCAUCUUCUCUUG